ACUUGUCUUCCUUUUUACACUGUUUUUUGUACUGUAAGCCAUUCAUCAUUUACUGUUCAUUGUAGUAUUAUUUUCAGUUUGUUUAUUUUGUCCACCCUCCAAGAUAAGACGUGCAAGAGACAUAGUUUCUGUAAUAGCCACUGCUGUAAAAACACUGAAGACUACUUGUUUGCCAAACCUAAACCAAACCCCCAAAAAACUGAAAAAAGCACCCUGAAAAUCAUCCAGUUGAAUAGAAAGACUGCUCAUUACAGUGUUCCAGAUCACCACUGCAGUUACCCUGUGCAAGUCACCCCAAGUCGUUUCAUCAGCUGAUGAAAUGCAGUUCCUCUGAAGCACAACGUAGGAGUUGCACAAGUAUGCAGUCCUAUAAAACUGUGAGAUACAAUAUCUACUGCUGCUAAUAGGGCUAUUAAAACAAAUUUGGUAACACAUUAUGCUAGGGUGUAAAUGUUGGAAAUCUGAUUUAAAAGUGCACGAAGAAGCUGUACAACAUUUUACUGAAGGGGAUGAAAUUAAGCAACAUGUUUUAAAUGGGCACAGGAGUUUUAUUCUGAGGAUAGAACUAAUGCGAAGCUGAAUUUCGGCUGGAUUCUGGGAUUAAUAUUCUAUUCUUGCAAAACACUUUACUAAAUUUCAGCCUAAGGAUCGCCUUAUUUCUGCAUUUCUCUGAAAUAUUAAAUUUCUGUAUCCUGCAUUCCCAGGGAAUUCAUUCCACAUUCUUUCAGAAAGAAGAGAUCUUGCAUAUGUAGAUCUAAUUCUGAUAUUUUAACAUUUGUAUAAAUUGGAAGUAAAUCAGAUGACUUUCUGUGUCACUUAGAAUAUAGAUGCAUUUUUUACUUCACUGCAAACAG
rnacentral:lncRNA from 1 species